rnacentral:pre_miRNA from 1 species
CUACUACUCCCUCCGUCUGAAAAUACUUUUCAUUGAAAUGGAUGUAUCUAGAUGUAUUUUAGUUCUAGACACAUCCAUUUUGAUGACAAGUAAUUCCGGACGGAGGGAGUAUUAU